AAAAGUUAGAUUAUGUGGUGUCAAGAAAAUCAUAUGAAGCAGCAACUUUUAGGCAGUUAAUUGGUCUCACCAUUUGACACUAAAUAUCCUGCAGAGUCUGGAUGUUGCCGGGAUUAAUUGACUUGCUGCCCAGGAGCGCUGAACUUAGCUUCAUCCUACUUCUUGGCAAGGAUCGAAGGUACGGCGCACCUGCUGCUGGUACUCGCUUGUCCAGUCUGGAGAAUACAUCCUCAUGUAGGAGACACAAUGGGGUGCUCUCCGAGCAGGAAUGACCGAGGCAAGCCACUGGCACCGGGUUGCUGACUCCUGCUGCUCUCAUUCUAGUUCGAGCUACAGAUCAUGAAUCAUGAGGAAGCAAUAUACAUGUCAAGUUGUUAACUUCUCAGAGCACGUAUAUUAGUAUGGACUGCACUAUAGACAUAUCCUACAAUAGGUUGUCUUUUCGGUUCUCUGCAUAGACUUUUGAUUGGAUGAAACAUUAAGUAUCUAUUGAUUGGCACUAAUUAUUCUGUGUUC